GAUGAACGCUGACAGAAUGCUUAACACAAGCAAGUCUUUGGCGAAGCUGUGCUCGCACAGCCUAGCCAAGGCGGACGGGUGAGUAACGCGUAAGGAACUUGCCCUGCAGUCAGGGAUAACAGACGGAAACGACUGAUAAGACCUGGUAAAGUCAGGCGGACUCAUGUCCAGCCUGAUGAAAAGAGAUGCUGCAGGAGAGCCUUGCGUCCUAUUAGCUUGUUGGUGGGGUAACGGCCCACCAAGGCGAUGAUAGGUAGCCGGCCUGAGAGGGUGGACGGCCACAAGGGGACUGAGAUACGGCCCUUACUCCUACGGGAGGCAGCAGUGGGGAAUAUUGGACAAUGGGGGCAACCCUGAUCCAGCAAUUCUGCGUGCACGAUGAAGGUUUUCGGAUUGUAAAGUGCUUUCAGCAGGGAAGAAAAAAAUGACGGUACCUGCAGAAGAAGCGACGGCUAAAUACGUG
rnacentral:rRNA from 1 species